UACAGAGGGUGCAAGCGUUAAUCGGAUUUACUGGGCGUAAAGCGUGCGUAGGCGGUUCGCUAAGUCGGUUGUGAAAUCCCUGGGCUUAACCUGGGAACUGCAGUCGAUACUGGCGGACUAGAGUACGGUAGAGGGUGGCGGAACUCCGGGUGUAGCGGUGAAAUGCGUAGAUAUCCGGAAGAACACCGAUGGCGAAGGCAACCACCUGGGCCUGUACUGACGCUGAGGCGCGACAGCGUGGGGAGCAAACAGG
rnacentral:rRNA from 1 species